UCUAAUCCUUAGAUCAUGACUCAUUAAAGGGCCAAGAUUAAAAACUUUAAAAAAUUAAAAUCCCAAAUUUUAAAAUCAUAAUCUACUGCCUCUCUCCUCUCUCCUCUUCCUCCCUCCUCUCUCCUAUAUCUUUCUGCGGUUCUUGUUAGUUUCACAAACUAUUUUUUUUUUUUUUGCAAUACUAAUUCAGAGAAUUUCGUCUGCAAUUCAACACUCAAUAUCAAGAUUACUUAAAUAGUUGCAGACAAUAUGGGAGAGGAAGGUUAUUUUUUUUUUUGGUUAUAGUUUACGUCUUUAGGUUUUUUCAGAAUUUUGAAAUCGUUACUAUAUUCGGAAUAUUGUGUGUUGUUGCUGUUAAACGAAAUUUGAUUAUUGCUUUGAAACCAACUGAUUGGGGACUUCAAUUCUGACAUUAAUUUUUGUUAUUGCUGUGAGACGAACUGAUUGUAUGAUUUAACUUGAUUUUGUUUAAUCUAGUUUCGUGUAUAAGUCCCCUAUAGUGACCAUUUGAAGUUAUGGCUAGUAAAGAUAAGUGCUUUGAGUUGAUCUUGAAUUAUAGUUGACUUUUCGAUCAAUGAUCUAACACCUGGGUUUCAUGAAUGCUUUGAUUCUGUUUGAGUGACAACUAUUGUUGCAUGCGUUGUUGUUGUUGUUGCUUUUUUUUUUUUUUUGAGGGAAAAAAAAAAUUAGUUUUGUUUUUGUUUUUGUUUUGGUUUUGGUUUUGGGUACAUGAAUACAUGAUCAUGUCCUUUCUCUUGUUAUUGGAUUUGUUUUUAAUCAGGUUUUGACCUUGAAGAGAUGAUCACCGGAUUGUAUUUUCAUUGUAACCUUAAGUACUAAGGACUCUUCAUGUUUCUAUUGCGUUAGAUUUCGGAUUUCGGUAGCAAAUUUAACUAGAGCUAACAAAAUUUUUAAUGUACAUAAAAGUGAUUAACAUGUCUUUUUUAAAAAAUUGGAGAAAGUUCGCUUACAGUGAACCUUGUUGUUAUUGAUUUAUGUUAUAUUAUUGAGUGAGCCUUGUUGUUAUUGAUUUAUGUUAUUUUUAAAACUAUAUAUUAUUUUUAUUACAAGUUUUAUGUUAUAUUUUAGGAUCCUUUGAUAAAUGUUACGGAAAAACAUGACGAAAAUGAAGAUGUUGCAUUAUUGAGUGAGCUGUUUUCUUCAUGGAAUAUUUGGAUCUCAUGUAUUUGUUCCAUUCUUGUACAUGAAACACUACUUUAUUGUUGUGAUCAACUUCAAACACAAAAGAGUGAAUUAUCUGGAUCAUAGAGUCUAUGGAAAUUGGAAUGAUUCUCAUUUCAAGGAGCUUGCCAUUAGUAUACGCAUGCAUAUGAGUGAUUAUUUGGAUAGAUUAGAACAUCCAUUGGCUCCUGAAUUAGUUUCAUAUGAUAUCAUUAAUGUCAAUUUUUCAUGGCAAACUAGUAAGCCAACCAUGGACUGUGGUGUUUUUGCAAUGGUUCACAUGUUGAACUAUGAUGGAGAAAUAUUUGAGUUUUAGCUUAGCUUGGCAACGCCCAGAUAAGGUGCACAAUGAGAGCUGAAAUCUGUGCAGUCCUUGUUUUGUGUGAUAUCAAGGAGGAGAUUAUCCCAAAGAUUCACGAGUUCAAUGAGAUAAAGGCUACUAUUUGAGACAAAUUGUGGAUGAAUUACAAGGAACAAGAUAAUGUACAGAAAGAAGUGUCUUGUUUGAAGACGUAGAAUAAACUUAUAAUUCAUGAAGUUGCAGCUAAAUAAUUCUCACAUAUUUACAAGUAUAUUUUUCCCUUUUUGUAAAGGGAUAUUGUUAGGGAGGAUUUGUUAGAAUCAAAACUACUAUGUGGUGAUAUUAGUAUUUACUUAUUUCAA